rnacentral:lncRNA from 1 species
GACGGCCAAACAAUGACGAAUUCCAGGGGAAAGAAAAGGGGAACAUGGAGAGGAUAUCACAUCGAUCCUGUAGGUGAGCAAAGUGGGCUCGAGGAGGCUCCGGUGAGGCCGAAUCGAAGACGGUGAGCGGCGGUGCGGAGGUUGAAGAUGACCUCGAUCCAGUCGAUGUAGGGGCUCCCUGCUACAUCUGGUGGUUGUGGUUGAGGCAGUGGUCAACGAUGGAGCGGAAGGACGCGCUCAGUGGGCGAGGGGACCACGGUGGCCGCGGCUAUGGAGGCGGCAUGACGACGGUGAUGCUCGGGUGGAGAUGGGAUCGAGCGAGAGAGGGGCGAGGAAGGAAAAGAUAUGGCUAGGGUUCGAUCCAGGGACGAGGGUGGUCCCUUAUCCUCUCGGCUUGCCGGCGGAUGCUCGACGUGUGGCCACCCGCGCCAUGGGCGGGUGUGCUGAGGCCACGCCAUGGCCUCUGCCUCCUUCUCUGUUGAGACGUAGAUGAAAAGGCCAGCCGAUGUGGGCUGGGCUGCACUGUAGUAGUGGGCUACCAUGCAUAGUAGUUUUUCUAACUUACAUUUUUGUAAAAAAAAAGAUAGCUACCGUUCUAUUUACCUCGGCCACCAAAUGAAUUUAGUUUUAAAUGAAAAAUUUGCACAUAAUUACUAUGUACUAUACUAGGCUACCACAAAAGGUUUGGGGUCUAAAGGAAUUCGUUCGAUUUAUGUUUUUGAAUUUAAGUGUGUAUAAUUAAAGUUUCUAGCCCUAUUUUAAAUAGGUUAAGGGUAUUUUAUUAACUCAAAUAAUGUUUGUUUCCACAUGAUAAUUAAAUAGUGAUUAUCUGCAACCCAACGAACAUUUUUGUUGGAUAGUUUAAAGAAAUAGAAAUUUGACUAGUUAGUAGAAUUUGUAUUUGCACUGAUUUUGAAACGAGUCCGGUUUAACAAAAAAUUAAUUAGGAUGACAUGGCAUCAUUAUUAGAGGGUUACUCUAGCUUAAUUAUCCGAGCAUCACAAUUCUCCUCCACUAUAAGAAAUCUCGUCCCGAGAUUUAAGAGGUAGAGUAAGGGGGAAAGUUUUGGUUACGAUAUUCUAACGGAUCUUCUCGAAGAAGUUAAUCCCUUUCGUUGAUGUCUUCAAUUCUUUAUCCCAAUGUAUCAUGAUAAAGUUUUCGCCCUUUCUUCGGGAACUCCAUCGUACUUACAAAAGGAUAAGGGGCAGCUCAACUACGACGGAAUGCUUUUGAGGGAAACAAUCUGGGGUUAACCUAUGAAAUGAGCAUAAGAUUAUCUCUCGAGUUGAACAUAUAAAAUACAUCGAGAGUAAGGUACGAAGGUAGAUUAAGGGGUUCCAAGUGGAUAGAUAGUUGCUCUAAGUCUGAACCAGAGUGAGAAAGGGGUUCAGAACAGUGGGAGUAAGUAUUGCGUCUAACACCAGAAUAGAGCACUAGGAAGGUGGUCAGUGAAUUAAAUACGAAGCCAAGCGUGGAAAAAAAACCAUGAGAAACAGGGUUGUACAGGAGAGUUAGGUUUCGAUCCUGUGGAACUGUGGGUUAUGGGCCCACCAUGUGGGUUAAAAGUAGAAAGGGCAGUAAUGUCUUGCACGAUCAUGUAAGCAAGGCAUGUCAGAGGAUAGCCUGUCAGUUAUGUCGGCAACAACGUCGGUACCAAGGGCGAGGGACGAAGAGAACCAUUUUCCUGCUCGUUGAACGAGGCGGACAAUUAGGCAAAGUUCUCGUCCAUCGAUGGUUACCAGAAUGUUAUCAACAAUAGUAACAGGGUCUUGCUGACAGAAAUGUACACCGAGGUGUUUACAUAAUCAGGAGAAUAUUUCUGCUUGGAUCAUAAAGAUCAUAGAAAGGGUUUAAACAAACCCACGGAAAGGGAAAAAUGUCUAUCAUAUUUAAUCAGAACAAUGGAAAGAAAAAUGUGUUUAAACACAUAUUUCAAGGGUAUAUCCUUCCCAAGGACAAGCAGAGCAUGAUAUCCAUGACAGGAUAUAACGUAGAAAACCAUUUAGGUUAGGCAAGAGGAAGUUCAUGACAUUACCCAAACAACGGUGUUUGAAUAACUGAUAAAGGAAAUUUAACAUGGCGCUUCAAUUGUUCUUAUCGAUGAUCAGAGUACCACAGACAUGCUUCGAGAUAGCAUUGACAUGAUCUUCAAGUAAAGGUCAGACUCUGGAUACACAGAGGGAUUCAUCAUUAAGCCAAGGAGAGGAUGAGGAGGUGGCUGAUGGACUCAGCGAUAAUUCAACGAGGUAUCCAAAAAUAUGGAUUUCUAUAGUUAUGUGAACAAGGUGAUAACAUUUGUCGGAUCAAAUGAUAUAAUGAUGUAUGCUCAAGGAAAAACAUACACAAUUAUACAUUAGUUGAAAAGUGUGCCCAAAAUAUGGCCUUAGGUAGCAUGAUCAAAGUUAGAAUGGUGAUUCAGUGAUCAAUAGUCUAAGAAUGAAUUGUCGAUCAUUAAUAUCGAAGCAUUAGGGUUGCUAGAAGUGCAGAAUCACAGCAGUUCCGUUCACUGCAUCCCGGUUAGAAUCAACACGGGACCAAGAAACAAAGGGAUACGGCGAUAAGUAUCACCGUAUCAAGAAUUUGUUAUGAGGUGGAGCAAGUCUCACAACAUCCUUGACAUAAAAGAUAGUGAUACUUCAAGGUAGAAUAUAAUGCAAGCUGGAUAGCAGGUUGCAUUAAUAACAGAACGAGUUUGUGAUGAAAGAACGGUAAGGGUGUUGUUGAUGGUAACACAAAUCAUCAAGGGGUAAGGAUGGUAUUUCUCAUCGGGAAAUCGAUUGAUAUCAUGGAAGAUCUCAUUACGUUGAGGAUGAUCACGACACAUUUGUCAAAAGUUUUCUUGAAGAUGUAAUCAAUCAGCGACGACAACAAGUCAAAGGAAUGAUGAAACGGAAGGUUAUUGGAACAUGGGUACAACACAAACUCGAAAUCAAGCUUUCUGUUCAAGGUGAAAUGAUAUGAUGAGGAAAAUUGAUGUAAGCUUAGCUUAUCAUCAAAAAUUGUGCUACAAGAAGAAGGACCAAGUAGCACAGUUAAAAUUUUGCAUGAUAAUGAUAUAGCCGAUAAGGCUUGGAAAUGACUUGAAGGGUUAUUAAACUCGUAAGCAACAAGAAUUACUUAGAGUUACUGAAUCAGAGUGCGGAAUCAAUUCACUUAUCGAUGUUCUUGGUUGACGACAAGCCAGAACUCGUGGAGUGACUCUGAUAGGGAAAGGUAUUACUCCAGCACAAAUUCAUAAGAUGUAGUGCAUUGGCAUGAUAUCCUCGAGAUACUAGGGGGAUAAUACUCGAAGGCGUAUCAAAUGAAAGGUUGAAGUGGGUGUAUUGAUAUAUAGAAGACAAGCGCUUUAACUUGUCUGAGAAGUGGAAUCAGAGGAAGAAAUUAUGGUCGGAACCACAAUCAUAAAUGAUCGAACCACGGGUACAAGAUGAACUUCUAACAAGGGGGUAAUUAUUUUUACGAGCAGCUCCCACGAUAAGUUCUACAUCGUGUCCAUGGGCAUGAACACAAAGUUCAAAGUCGACUCCCACUUCUCCAAUGCAUAACCUUUCAUUCACUUCUCGUUUCUUUUCGAAAUGGCAUUAGUUGUUGAAAGUUUUACCUGGUGCAAUACCAGAUAAGUAGGACCUGUGAAAUCUUUAGAGUUUGCACAGAUUAGGGAAGGCAUUGGUUCAACCCAUUGGGGCUUCUUAGGAACAUAUACCACAAGCUUCAAGAGUAAAUAUCACCAGCUCGAAAGCAGAGCAUGAUUGGCAAAAGGAGAUGAUACAAUUUACAAAGGCAUUAUGUAUCGGAGAAAGAACUCACAAGGUGAUUAAUUAUGAAGGACACUGUCGGAUAAUAAUCCAACAGUGGAUAUGGCAAUCCACAAUGGAGCUGAUGUGAGUAUCGAUAACCAAUCAGAGGAAGAAAGAAUGCAAAAGCAUCGAUUUAUAGAACAUCUGAAUAAUUCAACAUCUAAAUAGCAAGGAAUUAUGAUUUUCAAAUCAAGGGAUCAGGAGCAAAUGCUCUGAUCAAGGAUGGAUAAGUCGACUAGACUUAGGGGUAAAAUCGAUGGCAAUCUGAUUGGCCGAGAACCAGCUCAUGUUCGAAAGACGUCUGAGCCGGAAGAUAAUUUAUAAGGAUCAACUGAUGAUUGCGUGCAUUCGCACACAUAUAGAAUCAACGGACUUAAAAUGAUAGUGACAAAGGAUGCCAAUAGGAUUACUAGACUUAUUGGUUUAACCAAAAUGUAAGCAUGCAAGAAUUUCAAGAGCAAUAGGCUCCUGAGGAUUUUUGGAAGAUCGAAAGGUAUUUCGAAGAUUGGUGUCAUUCAUGAAUCAACUGGGGAUCAGUGGAUACUCGGUAAGUACGAGAAUAUAUCCGUAGGGAUAUUCAUGUGGCAAGAACUCCAAGGCAGUAGGCACAACAUAUUCUCAGAUCAUUAGAGAGAAUUUCGGGGUAUCUUGUAAUAACAAGAUUGACUGGAAAUAAAAUUAAGCACGAUAGGUGUAAGUAUUUACCCAUAAGGAUAUUUCGGUGGUAGGGAAUUGCAAAAGCAACGAGCACAAGGUCUCGAGAGAAUAUCGAAGAGUAUCUUCGAAAUCUUCUGGUGCAGCCGGUGUUCAUCUGGAUUGAAGGGGCUCUCCGGAGAAAGUAUUUUCGAGAACCUAAAGUUAGAUUUUAGUAAAAAUCGUUUAACCCGAAUAGAAGAGAGUUCAGAAUCCCGGAGUAAAGAUUGAGGAGUAAAAGAUCAUAAUACCAACCAAUGGCGACGUGAGCCCAUGGGCCGCACAGCCAUGUUAGUAAAAGUUUUGCAAUGUCUAGACUCGACUUCGGCCAAGGAGUAUGGAAGGUGGAUUCCUACAGGCAGUCGGCUCUGAUACCAACUUGUGACGCCCCCGAUUCAAUCGUACACUAAUCAUACACGCAAACGUGUACGAUCAAGAUCAGGGACUCACGGGAAGAUAUCACAACACAACUCUAAAAAUAAAAUAAGUCAUACAAGCAUCAUAAUACAAGCCAGGGGCCUCAAGGGCUCGAAUACAAGUGCUCGAUCAUAGACGAGUCAGCAGAAGCAUCAAUAUCUGAGUACAGACAUAAGUUAAACAAGUUUGCCUUAAGAAGGCUAGCACAAACUAGGCUACAGAUCGAAAGAGGCGCAGGCCUCCUGCUUGGGAUCCUCGUAACUACUCUUGGUCGUCGUCAGCGGGCUGCACGUAGUAGUAGGCACCUCCGGCGUAGUAGGAGUCAUCAUCGACGAUGGCGUCUGGAUCCUAGACUCCAUCAUCUGGUCGCAGCAAUCGGGUAAAGAAAAGGGGAAAAGGGGGAACAAGGCAACCGUGAGUACUCAUCCAAAGUACUCGCAAGCAAGGAGCUACACUACAUAUGCAUGGGUAUAUGUGUAAAGGGCCAUAUCAAUGGACUGAACUGCAGAAUGCCAGAAUAAGAGGGGGAAAGCUAGUCAUGUCGAAGACUACGCUUCUGGCAGCCUCCGACUUGCAGCAUGUAGAAGAGAGUAGACUGAAUUCCUCCAAGUAGCAUCGCAUAGCAUAACCCUACCCGGCGAUCCUCUCCUCAUCGCCCUGUGAGAGAGCGAUCACCGAUUGUAUCUGGCACUUGGAAGAGUGUGUUUUAUUAAGUAUCCGGUUUUAGUUGUCAUAAGGUCAAGGUACAACUCCAAGUCGUCCUGUUACCGAGGAUCGCGGCUAUUCGAAUAGAUUAACUUCCCUGCAGGGGUGCACCACAUAACCCAACACGCUCGAUCCCAUUUGGCCGGACACACUUUCCUGGGUCAUGUCUGGCCUCGAAAGAUCAACAUGUCGCAGCCCUACCUAGGCACAACAGAGAGGUCAACAUGUCGGUCUAAAUCCUAUGGCGCAGGGGUCUGGGCCCAUCGCCCAUUGCACACCUGCACGUUGCGUACGCGGCCGGUGAGCAGACCUAGCAACCUCCAUUACAAAGGAAGUUGUGUUACGCGGUCCAACCCGGCGCGCGCCCCUCAGUCGCUGACGCCACGAAGGCUUCGGCUGAUACCACGACGUCGAGUGCCCAUAAUUGUCCCCGCGUAGAUGGUUAGUGCGUAUAGACCAAAUGGCCAGACUCAGAUCAAAUAUCAAGAUCUCGUUAAGCGUGUUAAGUAUCCGUGAAUGCCGAACAGGGCCUGGCCCACCUCUCUCCUAGGUGGUCUCAACCUGCCCUGUCGCUCCGCCACAAGUAACAGUCGGGGGCCGUCGGGAACCCAGGCCCACCUCUACCGGGAUGGGCCACCUACCCCUUCAGCCCCCAUCUCCGAACAGUAUCACAGGUAAGGUAACAGUGUAAAGUAUAUAGUAUAUGCCCGUGAUCACCUCCCGAAAUGAUCACGGCCCAGUAGUAUAGCAUGGCAGACGGACAAGAGUGUAGGGCCACUGAUGGAACACUAGCAUCCUAUACUAAGCAGUAUGAUAGCAGGUAAAGGUAACAACAGUAGUAGCAAGGACAGGCUAUGCAGCAGUAUAGGAUUAACUUAAAGUAGUAACAUGCUACACUACUCUAAUGCAAGCAGUAUAGAGAAGGGUAGGCGAUAUCUGGUGAACAAGGGGGGGGGCUUACCUGGUUGCUCUGGCAAGAGAGAGGGGUCGUCAACACAAUAGUCGAACUGGUGGUCGCCGGCAGUCUCGGGGUCUACCGGAAAGAAGUAACGGGGGGAACACAAUAAAUAAUAGAGCAAUCAAAGCAACAUAAAGCAUAACAUGGCAAUACGCGAUGCUAGAAGAUCUAACGCAGGGAUAGGUGAUACCGGCGAAGGGGGAAAACAUCCGGGAAAGUAUUCCCGGUGUUCCACAUUUUCGGACAGAAGGACCGAAGGGGGAAAGUUGCGUGUUCGAUAUGCUAGGGGUGUGGCGGACGAACGGGCUGCGUAUCCGAAUUCGUCUCAUCGUUCUGAGCAACUUUCAUGUACAAAGUUUUUUCAUCCGAGCUUCAAAUUAUUUUAUAUUAAUUCUUAAAGUUUUAAUCAAUUUUCUAAGUUUUCUGGGUUUAAUUUUAGUUUGAAAUUAAAAGAAUAAAUUGCUACGGGUACCCAGAGUUGUACCCAACAGAAUGUAUGUGUGGCUGGCAGGUGGGGCCAAUGGGGUCCAGUCAGCAUUUGACCAGUCAACUAUUGACUGGUCAGCUGGGUCAAACAUGACCCACGUGUCAUGGACUAGGUCAACCCAGUCAACAGUUUGACUAGUCAAACUAGAUAGGGGACCCACAUGUCNNNNNNNNNNNNNNNNNNNNNNNNNNNNNNNNNNNNNNNNNNNNNNNNNNNNNNNNNNNNNNNNNNNNNNNNNNNNNNNNNNNNNNNNNNNNNNNNNNNNNNNNNNNNNNNNNNNNNNNNNNNNNNNNNNNNNNNNNNNNNNNNNNNNNNNNNNNNNNNNNNNNNNNNNNNNNNNNNNNNNNNNNNNNNNNNNNNNNNNNNNNNNNNNNNNNNNNNNNNNNNNNNNNNNNNNNNNNNNNGCCUUACACUAGUAGCUACCCUAACACUAAUUACCCCUAACUACAUUUAAUUAGGCACUAAUUAAUUGGGCUGGCCAUGUGCAGAGGCACAAGCCGGCCACUGUGUGGCUGUGCAUCACGCACAAAGCACACACAUGCGCAUGGCCAAGGCCGUGGCAUGGCCGGGAUGCAGCAGGCAGCCGUGCGUAGAGAGCAACAGCAGGGGAAGCGGCAGCAAGCAAUAGUAGAGCAGCGACAGCGGGGCAAGCAACAAGCAGGGAGAGGCGAGGCGGGGCGUGCAGGAGGCUGUGGGCACGCGCCUUGGCGCGGCCAGGCAGCGGCCGGCGCGACGGCGUGCAGGCGUGUGCGCGGACAGGACCGAGUGAGGGCGUGGGCUGGGCACGCAGGGGCUCGCGGCGAGCACAACCAGCAAUAGGGGAGCGCGGCCAGAGCCGCGACAAUAGAGCAGUGAACAGGGGCGUGGAGCCGAGCUCCCUGUCAUGGCGGCCAACACGUGGGACGGCCAAACAACGACGAAUUCAAGGGGAAAGAAAAGGGGAACAGGGAGAGGAUCUCACAUCGAUCCUGUAGGUGAGCAAAGCGGGCUCGAGGAGGCUCCGGUGAGGCCGAAUCGAAGACGGUGAGCGGCGGUGCGGAGGUUGAAGAUGACCUCGAUCCGGUCGAUGUAGGGGCUCCCUGCUACAUCUGGUGGUUGUGGUUGAGGCAGUGGUCGACGAUGUAGCGGAAGGACGCGCUCAGUGGGCGAGGGGACGACGGUGGCCGCGGCUAUGGAGGCGGCAUGACGACGGUGACGCUCGGGUGGAGAUGGGAUCGAGCGAGAGAGGGGCGAGGAAGGAAAAGAUAGGGCUAGAGUUCGAUCCAGGGACGAGGGUGGUCCCUUAUCCUCUCGGCGGAUGCUCGACGUGUGGCCAUCCGCGCCAUGGGCGGGUGUGCUGAGGCCACGCCAUGGCCUCUGCCUCCUUCUCUGUUGAGACGUAGAUGAAAAGGCCAGCCGAUGUGGGCUGGGCUGCACUGUAGUAGUGGGCUACC